AUGSGKCCWAMMMMAUGCAAGUCGAGCGAGGGAGUACUACGGUACGAACUUAGCGGCGGACGGGUGAGUAACGCGUGGACAAUCUACCCUGUAGACUGGGAUAACACCUCGAAAGGGGUGCUAAUACCGGAUAAUGUCGAGAAGCGGCAUCGCUUUUCGAAGAAAGGAGRGAAUCCGCUAUAGGAGGAGUCCGCGUCCCAUUAGCUAGUUGGUGAGGGUAACGGCCCACCAAGGCGACGAUGGGUAGCCGGCCUGAGAGGGUGAACGGCCACACUGGAACUGAGACACGGUCCAGACUCCUACGGGAGGCAGCAGUGGGGAAUAUUGUGCAAUGGGGGAAACCCUGACACAGCGACGCCGCGUGAGUGAAGAAGGCCUUCGGGUCGUAAAGCUCAAUAGUAUGGGAAGAAAGAAAUGACGGUACCAUACRAAAGCCCCGGCUAACUACGUGCCAGCAGYCCGCGGUAAUACGUAGGG
rnacentral:rRNA from 1 species